UUUUUUCUUACAUCUGUUCUGUUGUUUUUUGUUUGCCUUUUUUUUUUCUCUCACUUCUCAACACCUUUUUUAGCGGGGGGGGAAGAAACUCACCUUCACUCCUUCAUUUUCCAUCAAAACAACAUCCAGCAACCAUCAGAGGAAAAUCUGAGCUAUGCAUUGUAUUUCACAACUGUUACAACUACAAUAGUACUCUAAUUUUAGAUCAAGGUGAAUUGUUUCCAUAUUAUUGUGGAUAGUAUUACAAAUUUUUUCGGUGGAGUUCAUGGUUAUUUACGGAAUUCGAAUUUAAAUUUAUAUUGAAGAAAUCGCUGUUGAAAAACUUGAAGGAUUCAACUUUGAGCUAAUUUUGUAUUUGAAAUUUGAUUGAAUUUUGUUGUAAUACAAAAAAAAAAAAAAAUGAUUCCAGAUACAAUUUGAAGGUAAAAAUAUCAUGUUUAAAGAUUUAGGGGAGAGGAAGACAGUGGAGGCUACAGGAAAAUAAAAUAGAGAAGAUAAAAGUUUAUCUUCUUUUUUUUUUCUUUCUAUGUGUCUUUUUUUUUAUUGUUGUAUUUUUUUAUGUUUACAUUUUGGGUUAAUUAUGGCUUCUCACUCUCCUAGUGGAGAGUGUAUUGCACAUGUCAUGUCAUGUCAACAAUUGUAUUUAAUU
rnacentral:lncRNA from 1 species